rnacentral:rRNA from 1 species
GAUGAACGCUAGCUACAGGCUUAACACAUGCAAGUCGCGGGGCAGCAUGAAUUUAGCUUGCUAAAUUUGAUGGCGACCGGCGCACGGGUGAGUAACGCGUAUCCAACCUUCCCCUGUCCACGGGAUAGCCCGUCGAAAGGCGGAUUAAUACCGUAUGAGGUCACACGAUGGCAUCAGACUGUGACGAAAGGUUUUGCGGACAGGGAUGGGGAUGCGUCCGAUUAGGUAGUCGGCGGGGUAACGGCCCACCGAGCCGACGAUCGGUAGGGGUUCUGAGAGGAAGGUCCCCCACAUUGGAACUGAGACACGGUCCAAACUCCUACGGGAGGCAGCAGUGAGGAAUAUUGGUCAAUGGACGUAAGUCUGAACCAGCCAAGUAGCGUGCAGGAUGACGGCCCUAUGGGUUGUAAACUGCUUUUAUGCGGGGAUAAAGUGGGGAUGUAUCCUUUUGCAGGUACCGCAUGAAUAAGGACCGGCUAAUUCCGUG